GGUAGCUAUCAGUCUACAUGCAAGUCGAGCGAACAGAUAAGGAGCUUGCUCCUUUGACGUUAGCGGCGGACGGGUGAGUAACACGUGGAUAACCUACCUAUAAGACUGGGAUAACUUCGGGAAACCGGAGCUAAUACCGGAUAACAUAUUGAACCGCAUGGUUCAAUAGUGAAAGGCGGCUUUGCUGUCACUUAUAGAUGGAUCCGCGCCGUAUUAGCUAGUUGGUAAGGUAACGGCUUACCAAGGCAACGAUACGUAGCCGACCUGAGAGGGUGAUCGGCCACACUGGAACUGAGACACGGUCCAGACUCCUACGGGAGGCAGCAGUAGGGAAUCUUCCGCAAUGGGCGAAAGCCUGACGGAGCAACGCCGCGUGAGUGAUGAAGGUCUUCGGAUCGUAAAACUCUGUUAUCAGGGAAGAACAAAUGUGUAAGUAACUGUGCACAUCUUGACGGUACCUGAUCAGAAAGCCACGGCUAACUACGUGCCAGCAGCCGCGGUAAUACGUAGGUGGCAAGCGUUAUCCGGAAUUAUUGGGCGUAAAGCGCGCGUAGGCGGUUUUUUAAGUCUGAUGUGAAAGCCCACGGCUCAACCGUGGAG
rnacentral:rRNA from 1 species